rnacentral:tRNA from 1 species
UGUAAAAUAAGCUAAACUUAAGCUGUUGGGUUCAUACCCCAAACAUGAACGGUAGUUCUUUUACAA